rnacentral:rRNA from 1 species
GGAAUCUUGCGCAAUGGGCGAAAGCCUGACGCAGCAACGCCGCGUGCGGGAUGAAGGCCUUCGGGCUGUAAACCGCUUUCAGCAGGAACGAAAAUGACGGUACCUGCAGAAGAAGGAGCGGCCAACUACGUGCCAGCAGCCGCGGUGACACGUAGGCUCCAAGCGUUGUCCGGAUUUAUUGGGCGUAAAGAGCUCGUAGGCGGUUUAGUAAGUCGGGUGUUAAAACUCUGGGCUCAACCCGGAGAGGCCAUCCGAUACUGCUGUGACUUGAGUUCAGGAGGGGAGCGGGGAAUUCCUAGUGUAGCGGUGAAAUGCGCAGAUAUUAGGAGGAACACCGGUGGCGAAGGCGCCGCUCUGGACUGAAACUGACGCUGAGGAGCGAAAGCAUGGGUAGCAAGCAGGAUUAGAUACCCUGGUAGUCCAUGCCGUAAACGGUGGCACUAGGUGUGGGUUCCAACUAACGGGAUCCGCGCCGUCGCUAACGCAUUAAGUGCCCCGCCUGGGGAGUACGGUCGCAAGACUAAAACUCAAAGGAAUUGACGG